rnacentral:rRNA from 1 species
UACGUAGGGGGCAAGCGUUGUCCGGAAUUACUGGGCGUAAAGCGCGUGUAGGCGGGACGACAAGUCCGGCGUGAAAGGCUCGGGCUCAACCCGAGACGGCCGUUGGAAACUGUCGUUCUUGAGGGUCGAAGAGGAGAGUGGAAUUCCUGGUGUAGCGGUGAAAUGCGUAGAGAUCAGGAGGAACACCCAUGGCGAAGGCGGCUACCUGGCCCACUCUUGACGCUGAGGCGCGAAAGCUAGGGGAGCAAACGGG